rnacentral:rRNA from 1 species
GACGUGAUGCUAAUCCCUAAAGACCUCUCUCAGUUCGGAUUGGAGUCUGNAACCCGACUCCAUGAAGCUGGAUUCGCUAGUAAUCGCGCAUCAGCCACGGCGCGGUGAAUACGUUCCCGGGCCUUGUACACACCGCCCGUCAAGCCAUGAAAGCCGGGGGGUACCUGAAGUGCGUAACCGCAAGGAGCGCCCUAGGGUAAAACUGGUGAUUGGGGCUAAGUCGUAACAAGGUAGC